rnacentral:rRNA from 1 species
UAGGGAAUCUUCCGCAAUGGGCGAAAGCCUGCCGGAGCAACGCCGCGUGAGUGAUGAAGGUCUUCGGAUCGUAAAACUCUGUUAUUAGGGAAGAACAAAUGUGUAAGUAACUAUGCACGUCUUGACGGUACCUAAUCAGAAAGGCACGGCUAACUACGUGCCAGCAGCCGCGGUAAUACGUAGGUGGCAAGCGUUAUCCGGAAUUAUUGGGCGUAAAGCGCGCGUAGGCGGUUUUUUAAGUCUGAUGUGAAAGCCCACGGCUCAACCGUGGAGGGUCAUUGGAAACUGGAAAACUUGAGUGCAGAAGAGGAAAGUGGAAUUCCAUGUGUAGCGGUGAAAUGCGCAGAGAUAUGGAGGAACACCAGUGGCGAAGGCGACUUUCUGGUCUGUAACUGACGCUGAUGUGCGAAAGCGUGGGGAUCAAACAGG